rnacentral:rRNA from 1 species
GGACUUAUUCGAGUAGCUUGCUAUUUGGAUAAGUUAGCGGCGGACGGGUGAGUAACACGUGGGUAAUCUGCCUCGUAGACUGGGAUAACAGGCCGAAAGGUUUGCUAAUACCGGAUGAGUUCAUGUUAUUGCAUAGUGACAUGAAGAAAGGGGAAACCCGCUAUGAGAUGAGCCCGCGCCCCAUUAGCUAGUUGGUAGGGUAAAAGCCUACCAAGGCGACGAUGGGUAGCCGGCCUGAGAGGGUGGACGGCCACACUGGGACUGAGACACGGCCCAGACUCCUACGGGGGGCAGCAGUAGGGAAUUUUCGGCAAUGGGCGAAAGCCUGACCGAGCGACGCCGCGUGAGGGACGAAGGCCUUCGGGUUGUAAACCUCUGUCUGGGGG